CCUACGGGAGGCAGCAGUGAGGAAUAUUGGUCAAUGGACGCAAGUCUGAACCAGCCAUGCCGCGUGAAGGAAGACGGCUCUAUGAGUUGUAAACUGCUUUUGUACGAGGGUAAAUCUCGAGACGUGUAACUGGUUGACAGUAUCGUACGACUAAGGAUCGGCUAACUCCGUGCCAGCAGCCGCGGUAAUACGGAGGAUUCCAGCGUUAUCCGGAUUUAUUGGGUUUAAGGGGUGCGUAGGCGGUUCGAUAAGUUAGAGGUGAAAUCCCGGGGCUCAACUCCGGCACUGCCUCUGAUACUGUCGGGCUAGAGUGUAGUUGAGGUAGGCGGAAUGUAUGGUGUAGCGGUGAAAUGCAUAGAGAUCAUACAGAACACCGAUUGCGAAGGCAGCUUACCAAACUACGACUGACGUUGAGGCACGAAAGCGUGGGGAGCAAACAGGAUUAGAUACCCCAGUAGUC
rnacentral:rRNA from 1 species